rnacentral:rRNA from 1 species
AUUGAACGCUGGCGGCAUGCCUUACACAUGCAAGUCGAACGGCAGCACGGGGCAACCUGGUGGCGAGUGGCGAACGGGUGAGUAAUGCAUCGGAACGUACCUUUCAGUGGGGGAUAACGUAGCGAAAGUUACGCUAAUACCGCAUAUUCUGUGAGCAUGAAAGCAGGGGAUCGCAAGACCUUGCGCUGAUUGAGCGGCCGAUGUCAGAUUAGCUAGUUGGUGAGGUAAAGGCUCACCAAGGCGACGAUCUGUAGCGGGUCUGAGAGGAUGAUCCGCCACACUGGAACUUAGACACGGUCCAGACACCUACGGGAGGCAGCAUGUGGGAAUUUUGGACAAUGGGGGCAACCCUGAUCCAGCCAUGCCGGGUGAGUGAAGAAGGCCUUCGGGUUGUAAAGCUCUUUCGGCCGGGAAGAAAUCGCACGGGCUAAUACCCUGUGUGGAUGACGGUACCGGAAUAAGAAGCACCGGCUAACUACGUGCCAGCCGCCGCAGUAAGAC